AAUUUUGCGCAAUGGGGGAAACCCUGACGCAGCGACGCCGCGUGUGCGAUGAAGGCCUUCGGGUUGUAAAGCACUGUGGGAGGGGACGAAGUCUCAGGGGUUGACCCUGAGGUGACGGUACCCUUCGAGCAAGCCCCGGCUAACUACGUGCCAGCAGCCGCGGUAAUACGUAGGGGGCGAGCGUUGUCCGGAGUCACUGGGCGUAAAGGGCGUCUAGGCGGCCUGACGCGUCGGUUGUGAAAGGAGGCGGGCUCAACCCGCCCGGUGCGACCGAAACGGUGAGGCUGGAGGGCCGGAGAGGGAAGCGGAAUUGCCGGUGUAGCGGUGAAAUGCGUAGAGAUCGGCAGGAACACCAGUGGCGAAGGCGGCUUCCUGGACGGUACCUGACGCUGACGCGCGAAAGCGUGGGGAGCGA
rnacentral:rRNA from 1 species